rnacentral:rRNA from 2 species
UAUCCAACCUGCCCACCACUUGGGGAUAACCUUGCGAAAGUAAGACUAAUACCCAAUGACGUCUCUAGAAGACAUCUGAAAGAGAUUAAAGAUUUAUCGGUGAUGGAUGGGGAUGCGUCUGAUUAGCUUGUUGGCGGGGUAACGGCCCACCAAGGCUACGAUCAGUAGGGGUUCUGAGAGGAAGGUCCCCCACAUUGGAACUGAGACACGGUCCAAACUCCUACGGGAGGCAGCAGUGAGGAAUAUUGGUCAAUGGACGAGAGUCUGAACCAGCCAAGUAGCGUGCAGGAUGACGGCCCUAUGGGUUGUAAACUGCUUUUAUAAGGGAAUAAAGUGAGUCUCGUGAGGCUUUUUGCAUGUACCUUAUGAAUAAGGACCGGCUAAUUCCGUGCCAGCAGCCGCGGUAAUACGGAAGGUCCGGGCGUUAUCCGGAUUUAUUGGGUUUAAAGGGAGCGUAGGCCGGAGAUUAAGCGUGUUGUGAAAUGUAGACGCUCAACGUCUGCACUGCAGCGCGAACUGGUUUCCUUGAGUACGCACAAAGUGGGCGGAAUUCGUGGUGUAGCGGUGAAAUGCUUAGAUAUCACGAAGAACUCCGAUUGCGAAGGCAGCUCACUGGAGCGCAACUGACGCUGAAGCUCGAAAGUGCGGGUAUCGAACACGAUUAGAUACCCUGGUAGUCCGCACGGUAAACGAUGGAUGCCCGCUGUUGGUCUGAAUAGGUCAGCGGCCAAGCGAAAGCAUUAAGCAUCCCACCUGGGGAGUACGCCGGCAACGGUGCAACUCAAAGGAAUUGACGG